AUUGAACGCUGGCGGCAUGCUUUACACAUGCGAGUCGAACGGCAGCGCGGGGCAACCUGGCGGCGAGUGGAGAACGGGUGAGUAAUAUAUCGGAACGUACCCAGAAGUGGGGGAUAACGUAGCGAAAGUUACGCUAAUACCGCAUACGAUCUACGGAUGAAAGUAGGGGACCGCAAGGCCUUAUGCUUUUGGAGCGGCCGAUAUCUGAUUAGCUAGUUGGUGAGGUAAAGGCUCACCAAGGCGACGAUCAGUAGCUGGUCUGAGAGGACGACCAGCCACACUGGAACUGAGACACGGUCCAGACUCCUACGGGAGGCAGCAGUGGGGAAUUUUGGACAAUGGGCGCAAGCCUGAUCCAGCAAUGCCGCGUGAGUGAAGAAGGCCUUCGGGUUGUAAAGCUCUUUUGUCAGGGAAGAAACGGUAGAGGCUAAUAUCCUUUGCUAAUGACGGUACCUGAAGAAUAAGCACCGGCUAACUACGUG
rnacentral:rRNA from 1 species